AACGAACGCUGGCGGCAGGCUUAACACAUGCAAGUCGAACGGACCGCAAGGAUAGUGGCAAACGGGUGAGUAAUACAUGGGAAUGUACCUUUUAGUUCGGGAUAACAGCGGGAAACUGCUGCUAAUACCGGAUGCGCUCUACGGAGGAAAGAUUUAUCGCUGAAAGAUCAGCCCAUGCCAGAUUAGCUAGUUGGUGAGGAAAUGGCUCACCAAGGCAGUGAUCUGUAGGGGGUCUGAGAGGAUGAUCCGCCACACUGGGACUGCGAUACGGCCCAGACUCCUACGGGAGGCAGCAGUGAGGAAUAUUGGACAAUGGAGGCAACUCUGAUCCAACCAUGCCGCGUGAAUGAUGAAGGCCUUAGGGUUGUAAAGUUCUUUAAGUGGGGAAGAUAAUGGCGGUACCCACAGAAUAAGCACCGGCUAACUUCGUGCCAGCAGCCGCGGUAA
rnacentral:rRNA from 1 species